rnacentral:rRNA from 1 species
CCUACGGGAGGCAGCAGUGGGGGAUAUUGCACAAUGGGGGGAACCCUGAUGCAGCGACGCCGCGUGGGUGAAGGAGUGCUUCGGCAUGUAAAGCCCUAUCGGCAGGGACGAAGCAAGACGGUACCUGACUAAGAAGCCCCGGCUAACUACGUGCCAGCAGCCGCGGUAAUACGUAGGGGGCGAGCGUUAUCCGGAUUCACUGGGUGUAAAGGGAGCGUAGACGGCCAUGCAAGCCAGGGGUGAAAGCCCGGGGCCCAACCCCGGGACUGCCCUUGGAACUGUGCGGCUAGAGUGCGAGAGGGGCAGGCGGAAUUCCUGGUGUAGCGGUGAAAUGCGUAGAUAUCAGGAGGAACACCGGCGGCGAAGGCGGCCUGCUGGACUGCGACUGACGUUGAGGCUCGAAAGCGUGGGGAGCGAACAGGAUUAGAUACCCGGGUAGUG